rnacentral:tRNA from 1 species
GGGGAUGUAGCUCAGUGGUAGAGCGCUCGCUUUGCAUGUGAUAGGCCCCGGGUUCAAUCCCCGGCAUCUCCA